CCCCAAGAAUUCACUGCCCAUAUUCAAGCCAGUAAACAGUAAUAUCAAGAGCAGAAGACUUCUAGAUUACUCAAACCAAUUCAUGCUGUUUUCCAUUUCGUGUUUUUUUUUUUUUUGGUUUGUUUAUUGAAUUUUCUUUUUUUAAAACCUGGCCUGUAUGAGAUCGAUCCAGCUGGCUGUGUGGACAUCUCCAAGCUAAUCAUGCAAUCCCAAAGCAGCAUGGUCGACGUUCUCAAUAGAGCACAUGGCUUUAGAUGAGAGGUGAACCCAAGGCGACGUCCGUGAUAGGAGUGUUAAAAAACACAGGCCAUGGAGGAAUUAAAUUUGCCACAGCUGCAAUGGCAUGCCAUCACAUCUGAGGACAAUUAUAAAGACUUUCCUGGAGGAGCCUCAAGACACAUAGCAGCCACACGGAAGGCGAGAAGGAGCCAAGAAACCAGCGCACAAGUGAGAAAUCUCUCCUGAGAAACUAUUACUGUGGAGGGGAAGAAAAAAAACAAACAAACAAACAAACAAACAAAAAAAAAACAAAAGCAAACACAUGACUAUGUCCAUGCUGUGGUGUCAGAAAUAUACAGUGUACGAGUAUACUUCUUACAUCACUAUUAUUUCAGUAAUGCAGGCCAAAGCAAAUACUCGGGAACCACAAAAGCGAAGAUGAUCUCAAAACUCACAUAACCUUUCCUUAAUCAAUUUCACAUGACACACAGUUUACAAAGGAUUGCUAAAGAACACAAUGAUCAAAUACAGAGCUUUUAGUGUAGGCUUUAAUAACAUCUCAAAAGAACACAUGGAGAUCCACAGAGGAAAGUCUGUAUACUCAAUGUAAUGACCGACUCUUACUGAACCAUCAGAAUUAAGUCACUCUGUGAAAUCUUCGAACAGGAUCUCAGCCAAAAUUUACAGAAUAUUUUCCCUGUACACCAAAUGUAAUCGAUUAGCCAAAACAGGUUUUUAAGGGUGUACCCAUACGUCUGUGCAUCAAAUAAUACAUUCAAGAGACUGCAUAAUAAAGUAGGCUUAAAUUAUGUGAGGUGUAAUAAACACUUAAGCCUGAUCAACAAUGCCACAGCCACCCCUGGCCUGGAGACAAGAGCGCGAAAUUGACCGUGCUCCCUGGGUGGGAUGGAUGGUACACUCAACAUACACUAACCAAUCGUGGGUGUCUGUGAGCACAUGUAUGUGGAAGAGGGUGAACAGCACAUUCCUGCCCCUUGAUACACUAUGAUAAACACUUCUCCAAAGCAUUCUGCAAGCAGAAACUGGAAGAUUUAUUGCUUUAAUGAACACAUCUUAAACCCGUUAAAGCUUGUUCACUGGCCAGUUUGGUGUGCUGAGAGCAGAGAGAGAAAAAAGUCGAAUACAGAGACACUCAAGAAUAAGGAAUCAAACAUAAUGCAUUAGGUUUUCCACCCUGAACUUGAACAUGAUUUUUACAAUUAUAUCCUAUAAAUGAAAAAUUUGUGUUUUAAAUAAAGUUUUUAAAUUGUUACUACAACCUGUUUAGUCCCAUUAUUUUAUACAACAGAAGCCAAAAAUCUAAUGUCAAUUAGUAUUAAACACAAGGUAUUAAAGUGUCAUUGCAUCAUAUAAUCCAAUCAUCAAUCAGUAUGUAAAUACGUAUCCAAGGGGGAGGGGCAUCUAGAGCUGGGAGACAUUUUAGAUGUGCAUGUUCAUAGAACCUUGAUUUCUUGAUGACAGUAAAAGAGCAGUCAAUUCUUUAGUUUUGUGAAUAUUUGUAGACCUGUCACAUCAAGUCAUUUAUUAUUUACUAUAGAAAAUGAUGCAUAUUUAAACACAUUUAAAUCAGUGGAUCGUUAAUAGACCACGAAUGAACAUCUUUAGAGAUAUCUCUUUGGCACUGGUAGGAUGGACAACCUAUAAACUGGGCCAGAAGAAAUCAAAUGCAAACAAGUAUAAACAUCAUAAAAUAAUAACCCAAUAGUGGCCUAGUUUAUGUAUGCAUGUAUCACCAAAAAGCCACAUGAUUUCGAAUCAGGAAAGGAUAUAUAUAUCGGAGUACUGAAUCUAUACAAGAGAUGAAUAUCCAACAAUUUUAUUGCAUUAACCAAAUGCAUAAAACAUGAGCAGGAAAUUUGCACUUAACUUCACCCAGCCUGUAAAUAGCUUAGAAACCUACACUAACAAUGACUACGUUUACAUAGACAGCAGUAAUCUAAUUAUUGACCUUAUUCUGAAUAAGACAAUAUUGUGAUUAAGGUGUUUACAUGAGUCGCUUUUAGAAUAUUCUUUUCAUGUUCCCGUUUUACAUGUUAUAGAAUAUAGAUAGAUUAACGGCACACGUCAUUAAGUCCCCACUCCACGCCACCCGACGUUCCCUCCAGAAUUUCACGUAUCAACAUACAGUUUUUGGCCAUUUCAUUUAUAAUUUUACGAAAGCUUCAAGUGCAGUUAAUUAUUUGUUAUGCUGUACGUUCAAAUAGACGACUGCUUGAAGCCGUGGGCUGCGUCCAAAACCACAUGCUUACCUACUAUAUAGUAGCCGAGAUGCAUGUAUUUCGCCUACUAUAGGCCUAUAGCAGGUAAACACGCAGUUUCGGACGCAACCGUCCUCUCUUGUUUGCCGUUAAAUGGUUGAGCACUGCCGUGUGUGUACGUGUCCUGCCGCAAAAUGCGGUGAAAACUCCCACACGACGUUAACAGUGUGAUUAAGGUGUGUACAUGUCUAUGAUGCACGUUGAUAACGCGACUAAAAUAGGAAUACGCCACAUUUUUUAUUUUUUUUUUUUACUUCGAGUAUGACUUUAGCUGGAUUAAGGUAAUCAAUAAUCGCUGUUAAUAACCAGAGUAUCAGAGUAUUGUCUUAACCGGGUUAAGAUCAGAUUAUUGUUGUCUAUGUAAACAUACUGAAUGUCACUCACAGGAUGUGGAUGUUUAGUCUGAUGGCAUUUCAAGAAGUGGUGUGUACCCCUGAAAGAACGCCUUACAAUUUCUAAAUAUCAUCAAAGCAACUAAGAUUAAUGGUGCUGCAUAAAUGACCCAUUUCUUUUGGUCCUAUGUGAGGAGUAAUAAUAAUGCUGGUAGUAAAGUAGGUCACAUCUCAUCUAUGUGACGGUUUUUUUUAUUGCCGUAAUGAAAAACCUGACACCCUGCUCUACAGAUCCAGUUCAGCAGCUAGCACACAUCACAUACACCAUCGCUCUAUAAUUAGAAGUGCAGCCCAGUUUCAAACUUCAAAACGAGCAGGACCUUUUAUUUAUGUAUACUCUAUAUUAUACAUUUUUGCACAUAUUAUGUAAAUAAGAAGGACAAGCUAGUGUCAGACGCUUUCAAUGUGGCACAUUUUGAGAACUACACGAGAACUGCAUGGCAAAGAUGGAUGCAUUAAAGCAGCUCAGCAGAGAGUGGAGGUCAAAUGCAGUGGAGAGUGGAGGAGAGGGUGGUCAAGCAGAUUGAGACACAAAGAAUGCCCCAGCUGGCUUUACAGACAUCUCAGCCUGGUUGAAGGAUCAGCACAUCUAAUUUCACUUUUUCAGAGCUUCUUGUCAUCUUCGAAAAUCCCUCAAUCCAUCACAUUACCAUCAAGCCUGGCUUGUCCUGACUUUCAUCACCAUCAAGCCCGUGACCUGGAAAUCGACCGAAGUCAGUCAACCGUCUUGAAGGACAUAUCAGUUCUGUGACUGCACCACGAGGAGCGAGGAAGCUUCCAGGGGAGCUAGGAGUGAAGAUACACAGGGAUCCAUCCGGAAGUGUUUCUUGUCGAAAAACCUGA